GUUGUCUGCGGAGCGACUCGCGGUGAGAGUUCGGUGACGCGCGAUUCUUUCAUACAUCACAGACACAUGUGCUCCGGCAGCCGGUGAUGUUCUGUUGUCAUCGCUGCUCGGAAAGUCAAGGCCGCCGGCGCUGGUAGGAAGCUCGAGCUGCGCGCGUGUGUCGACGACCUUUCGCGGCGCUCAGACACACCCCGUCAGAAGCCUCCAGCAUUCUCCGUGCAGAGAGUAAAAACGCAAUACGCUUGAUUUUGUGCUGCACGCUCCAGUCAUAACAUUCAGCGCACAAGGUCGUGCCGCCAGUGUUCAACCAUGACAUGAGACGAUGUGUCCGGACCGAAAGGCUGCUGCUUUAGACGUUGUUGAUCUGGCUGUGUCCCCACCUUGGAACGCUACCAGUUGCGCAAGCGGGGGACGAGAACGUCCAGAAAUAACUUUUGAAUUCAUACGGGAGCAGAGGACAGCGUCUGUGCAGACAAAUGAUUGCAUCGUGUGACGCUAGGACGACCACAGCAGCAUUGCAGAAGAUGAAGAAUCAUCAGUAGCAUCGGGAAGGCGCUUCUUCACUCUGAUAUCUGAUUGAAGUUUUCUACACCACUCUCCACGGAAUAUAUUAUGAAAAGUAUUUCUAAGUGCUCAGGUAUAAACAUACUUUAAUGAAUAAACCCACUUAAGGACAAAAUUAACGCAUAAGUUGCCUCGGUUAUGUUGCGCAGGCAAUAGGUGACUGUGUGAGCCUACAACACUAAUUUUUGCGGAUGUACGUACAUUGUCGUGCUGCCCUCCCAAUA
rnacentral:lncRNA from 1 species